GGCUUCGUAGCUCAGUAGGAUAGAGCAACAGAUUCCUAAUCUGGAGGUCGCGUGUUCGAAUCACGCCGAGGCCACCA
rnacentral:tRNA from 1 species